UACGUAGGGACCGAGCGUUGUCCGGAAUCAUUGGGCGUAAAGAGCGUGUAGGCGGCCACUUAAGUCCUGCGUGAAAUCUUGCGGCUCAACCGCAAGCGGUCGUGGGAAACUGGGUGGCUAGAGUGCGGGAGAGGAGAGUGGAAUUCCUGGUGUAGCGGUGGAAUGCGCAGAUAUCAGGAAGAACACCCGUGGCGAAGGCGGCUCUCUGGAACGCAACUGACGCUGAGACGCGAAAGCGUGGGGCGCAAACGGG
rnacentral:rRNA from 1 species